AGCCUUGGGAAUGGAUCUUAGGUUAGACCUGCCCAAUGUAUUAAAUACCAUGAAAAUGGAUGAAUGGCCGCGGUACUUUGACCGUGCUAAGGUAGCGCAAUCAGUUGGCUUUUAAUUGGGGUCAGGAAUGAAUGGAGUCACGUGGUUUAGCUGUCUCUUUAUUAAUUUAUUGAAAUUACUCUUUAGGUGAAAAAGCCUAAAAUUAGAAGAAGGACGAGAAGACCCUUAGAGUUUUACUUAAAUUAAAUAUUUUUGUUUAAGCAGUUUAGUUGGGGCAACUUAGGAGCAAUAUUUUAAUCUCCUCAAUUUAAAACAAGCCGAUAUUUAUAAGUUUGGAUAAACUACCUUAGGGAUAACAGCAUAAUUUAUUAAAUAAGUUUGUGACCUCGAUGUUGGACUAGGAAACUGGAAGGCUAGCCGCCUUCCAGGUUGGUUCUGUUCGAACUAUUAUUCCU
rnacentral:rRNA from 1 species